rnacentral:rRNA from 1 species
CCUACGGGAGGCAGCAGUGAGGAAUAUUGGUCAAUGGGCGGGAGCCUGAACCAGCCAAGUCGCGUGAGGGAAGACGGUCCUAUGGAUUGUAAACCUCUUUAGGCGGGGAGCAAUGCCGGGCACGCGUGCCCGGAGGGAGAGUACCCGCAGAAUCAGCAUCGGCUAACUCCGUGCCAGCAGCCGCGGUAAUACGGGGGAUGCGAGCGUUAUGCGGAUUUAUUGGGUUUAAAGGGUGCGUAGGCGGAUUGUUAGGUCAGCGGUAAAAGGUCCGGGCUCAACCCGGGCCGGCCGUUGAAACUGGCGUUCUUGAGUGGGCGAGAAGUAUGCGGAAUGCGUGGUGUAGCGGUGAAAUGCAUAGAUAUCACGAAGAACUCCGAUUGCGAAGGCAGCAUACCGGCGCCCAACUGACGCUGAAGCACGAAAGCGUGGGUAUCGAACAGGAUUAGAUACCCUUGUAGUC